GGCCGGAUGGUGUAGUGUUAGUACUCCCUGUCUUCCAGCCGAUUUCACAUCUAACAGUAUCAACAGUGGUUAUCACAUCUCCUUAACAUCGGACGAUGAAUGCGGAGAAGGUCUUGAGUUCGAGCCUCAAUCUGGUCA